rnacentral:rRNA from 1 species
CCGCGUGAGCGAAGAAGUAUUUCGGUAUGUAAAGCUCUAUCAGCAGGGAAGAAAAUGACGGUACCUGACUAAGAAGCCCCGGCUAACUACGUGCCAGCAGCCGCGGUAAUACGUAGGGGGCAAGCGUUAUCCGGAUUUACUGGGUGUAAAGGGAGCGUAGACGGAAUGGCAAGUCUGAUGUGAAAGGCCGGGGCUCAACCCCGGGACUGCAUUGGAAACUGUCAAUCUAGAGUACCGGAGGGGUAAGUGGAAUUCCUAGUGUAGCGGUGAAAUGCGUAGAUAUUAGGAGGAACACCAGUGGCGAAGGCGGCUUACUGGACGGUAACUGACGUUGAGGCUCGAAAGCGUGGGGAGCAAACAGGAUUAGAUACCCUGGUAGUCCACGCCGUAAACG